AGGGAGACUGCCGGUGAUAAACCGGAGGAAGGUGGGGACGACGUCAAGUCAUCAUGGCCCUUACGAGUAGGGCUACACACGUGCUACAAUGGCGCAUACAGAGGGCAGCCAACUUGCGAGAGUGAGCGAAUCCCAAAAAGUGCGUCGUAGUCCGGAUUGGAGUCUGCAACUCGACUCCAUGAAGUCGGAAUCGCUAGUAAUCGUGGAUCAGAAUGCCACGGUGAAUACGUUCCCGGGCCUUGUACACACCGCCCGUCACACCAUGGGAGUGGGCUGCAAAAGAAGUAGGUAGUUUAACCUUCGGGGGGACGCUUACCACUUUGUGGUUCAUGACUGGGGUGAAGUCGUAACAAGGUAGCGCUAGGGGAACCUGGCGCUGGAUCACCUCCUUAAACGAUGAU
rnacentral:rRNA from 1 species